GGAGGCUGGUCAGAGGGAGGAGACCCCUGGUCCUCUGCUGUGGAAGGAGAGGGGUUCAGCCCCAGAUAACUCCUUUGUGGCCUGGGCAGGAUGCAGAGAAUGACAAGGCUGAAAGGAGGGGGACUGGAGGCUGCCUGGCUCCAGCGAGAGCUCCUUCUGGGACCAGAGGGUGGGACGGCCAGGUAUCACUUUGCCCCUUCCUGCCCCAAAAGGCUUUCACAUACCCGACUCAGGCCAGAGCCAAGACACCCUGGCAAAUCAUUAUAGGUCUCAAUUCAUGACAUACCAGAUGCCAGUCGCCACUUCACCCAACACACACACAAACAUACACACACCAAACACUCUGAGUGAGUGGUAAAGGCCCCGUUUUAACUCUGGCCCACCGCAAACAAAAGGUUUCCCUCUGUGGGGGAGAAAAAGAAAUCCAGGAGCUCCUCCCUGGAUUAAAACCAACGAGGUGCAGACCAAACUUUAACACCUUUAGCCUUAUGUGGAAACCAAAAACCAACUGCUGGGAAACUGUGAAAAGCCCUUUUACCCACAAGGGGAGGGGUCAAAGUUGCUGCCCUUUGGGGACACCCGAGACCCCUAAUUAGCCUAUCUGAAUGAGGACCAAAGGUUAGAGCCCUCUUUCUCCCCGAAGAAAGAGCCCGGAAAAACAUGGCAGAGCAAAGAGCAAAAUCCUUUCUCCCCCGAAUGCUUUACCAGUUUCUCAGCAACAUUUAUUCAAGAUGAUUUUUACCAGGAACCUUAUCAAAGGCAAAACCACAGCUGCUUGGGUUGAAGUCCCCAUCCUGGCCUCCUCUCAGCCGCCAGACAUGGCCAGGAACCCUGUGGUUCCCAAGAACAAUUUAAAGAUCACUCUUUGAUUUGAAAGACCACCAUUAUCAUUUUACUAAAUUCUUAUAUAUACUUGUGCCUUUUCCAACUUUCAGUUCUCUUAAGAAAAACAUCCACUGUAGCUUUAUAAAAUACCUUAGUAUCAGCUAGGUCCAAGUCUCCAGGCAGGACUAUCAAAAUGGACUCCUUCUUCCUAUCAGCUCUAGAACCCCAGAGGACUUGCCCAGUAGGCCAGCUGAGCACUUACCAGGCAGCAUCUCCCUGGCCUUCCACAGUCUCGCCUGUCUGUCUCUGGCCUUGGUGGACCUGGCUCCCUCCCUAGGAGGCUUUUGCCCUCAGCUUGAAUACAGUUCCUGGUGCAUCAAAGCUGUAAGUUCUCAGCUGCUGGCCUGCACUCAUCACCUCUUCCUACAAAUAAACAUUUGGAAAAAAGUCCAUCUUCAAUAUGCUUAAAGAGAAGGGUAGGAGAUAAGGAGAAAGAACAGAUACGGUUUUUUUCCCCUUUAAGGCCUUUAGAUUUUGAGGUACUGUAAGGGGCCUAGAAGGACAAAAGGCUUUCAUUCCCUCUUCCUUUUGGCAGGCAGGUUAUCAGUCCUUGGCAGAAGGGCCCAGCCCUAUCCUUUUCUGUAUCAAACAAAAUCCUUGAGGUUGGUAUACAAGUUAAGGCUGAAAAAAGGCCUUAAAUUCCCAGUAAAGAAUGUGAAAGCAAGCAUGUAAAAUAAACUGGUCUUCAUG
rnacentral:lncRNA from 10 species